rnacentral:misc_RNA from 1 species
CCUUCAAUGGAGUUCACCAUCUCCAGUGGAUUCAUAC